AUACUUACCUGGCAGGGGAGAUACCAUGAUCACGAAGGUGGUUUUCCCAGGGCGAGGCUUAUCCAUUGCACUCCGGAUGUGCUGACCCCUGCGAUUUCCCCAAAUGCGGGAAACCCGACUGCAUAGUUUGUGGUAGUGGGGGACUGCGUUCGCGCUCUCCCCUG
ensembl:snRNA U1 U1 spliceosomal RNA